rnacentral:rRNA from 1 species
UUAAAUUGAAGAGUUUGAUCAUGGCUCAGAUUGAACGCUGGCGGCAGGCCUAACACAUGCAAGUCGAACGGUAACAAGAA